rnacentral:lncRNA from 1 species
AAAAGCCAGAACGAAAAACAGCCAGUUGCAGAAAAAUAUAUACACGAUGAUAUAUAACGAAAAAAAUACAUAAUGUAGUCCAGAAGAAGGAAGUUGCAGAUGACCCAAAGCUGGGAGACAGAAAAGUGCACAGAAGUGAAAUUUGAAAAGAGCUUGGAAGUUCUGUACUAUUUCCAGAAUGCACCACCUCUUUACUUGGGCCUCGAUUACGAAAUGUAUGCUGUAAAUACUGAACAUCCUAGGAAAUGACGUCAGACUCUUCUGCAAUCCCUUCCGCACACCACUCUCGGGGAUCCCACGAAGAAUCGAGACUUGCCAGCUGGAGGCGCAGUGCUGGCUGGGGCAGGAGCAGACCCAGGCCUGAUAAAGGACAGGAAUCCUGAGGGCGUGGAUACGAAGAGCAGGCCCGAGUUCCAUCAAGCAUUCAGAAACUGCUGAGGAGGAUGGAGACAGGCGAGUGUUCAAAGGUCUGGCAAAGGCCCAGUGCCAGGAGUCACCUGAACUAAGGAGCAUGUGGGCAAGACAAUGAGAAGAACAGGCACCCAGCACCAGUCACAGAGUCCUGCCCUCCGGGGGCAAGCCGGCC